rnacentral:rRNA from 1 species
AAUGAACGCUGGCGGCGUGCCUAACACAUGCAAGUCGCGCGAGAAAGUCUCCUUCGGGGGGCGAGUAGAGCGGCGCACGGGUGAGUAACGCGUGGGUAACCUACCCUGGAGUGGGGUAUAACUCGCCGAAAGGCGGGCUAAUCCCGCAUACGUCCAACAGGCCCAAGUCUGUUGGGGAAAGAUGGCCCCUGCUUGCAAGCUAUUGCUCUUGGAUGGGCCCGCGUUAGAUUAGCUAGUUGGUGAGGUAAAGGCUCACCAAGGCCACGAUCUAUAACUGGUUUGAGAGGACGACCAGUCACACUGGAACUGAGACACGGUCCAGACUCCUACGGGAGGCAGCAGUGAGGAAUAUUGCGCAAUGGGGGAAACCCUGACGCAGCGACGCCGCGCGAGUGAUGAAGGCCUUCGGGUUGUAAAGCUCUGUCAGAGGGAAAGAAAGGGGAUAUGGCUAAUAUCCAUGUCCAUUGACGGUACCCUCAGAGGAAGCACCGGCUAACUCCGUGCCAGCAGCCGCGGUAAUACGGAGGGUGCUAGUGUUAUUCGGAAUCACUGGGCGUAAAGAGCACGUAGGCGGAUAGGUAAGUCAGAUGUGAAAUCCCGGGGCUCAACUUCGGAACUGCAUUUGAUACUGCCUGUCUUGAGUGUGGUAGAGGGGGAUGGAAUUCCCGGUGUAGAGGUGAAAUUCGUAGAUAUCGGGAGGAACACCAGAGGCGAAGGCGAUCCCCUGGGCCACUACUGACGCUGAGGUGCGAAAGCGUGGGGAGCAAACAGGAUUAGAUACCCUGGUAGUCCACGCCGUAAACGAUGAGUACUAGGUGCGGGGGGUAUAAACUCCCCCCGUGUCGCAGCUAACGCAUUAAGUACUCCGCCUGGGAAGUACGGUCGCAAGGCUG